rnacentral:rRNA from 1 species
UACGAAGGGGGCUAGCGUUGUUCGGAUUUACUGGGCGUAAAGCGCACGUAGGCGGAUUUUUAAGUCAGGGGUGAAAUCCCGGGGCUCAACCUCGGAACUGCCUUUGAUACUGGAGAUCUUGAGUCCGGAAGAGGUGAGUGGAACUGCGAGUGUAGAGGUGAAAUUCGUAGAUAUUCGCAAGAACACCAGUGGCGAAGGCGGCUCACUGGUCCGGUACUGACGCUGAGGUGCGAAAGCGUGGGGAGCAAACAGG